UAGCCUUGCCAUGACCACAUUUUUCACCAGU
rnacentral:piRNA from 2 species